AAAGAGAAAGAGGAUCUUAUAAUGAGUGGUCAUGCUAGUACUAGAGACAGAGCUAGGAUCAACACUGGGAAUAAAUCUGAUGUACUUUUAAGCCCAACAAUAUUUUUUAUCAUCACAAGGAGUAGCAAUAUCAGCAAUUCAGCACUAGUACAAAUGGAGUCAGUAAGAGAGAGAAAGCGAGGGACAAGAGAGAAGAGGAAAGUUACGAAAUGAGAACACAUUUACAUGUACAUGUCCAUUAUUCAUAGACUGUUGAUGAGAAAAGUAAAGAAAUUGAGGAACAUAACAACUAUCACUCAGAAACACAAUGAAGAAUGCAAACUGAGCUUUGCGUAGGUGAGGACUAGGUACUUGUCACAGCUCGCAAGAAUUUUUCAAAAUAUUUUACUUAGAGACUAGCUGAAUAACAAAGAACUCUCUUUCAAAUAAGGCCAACUGGCUUUAUAUAUGCACAAAUUAUUAAUAAUUAGUUAAUUAAUUAAUAUACAUUAAUGGUAAUAAUCCAGUUUCUAUAUAGUUCCAUGACACUCCUCCCUCCUUUCCCAGCGUCAAGUACUCGUACUUGACGGAGCACGGGAUAAUGCGUCAGCAUUGGUGUUGGCCUUUCCAACUCGAUGGACUAUAGUAAAA